rnacentral:antisense_RNA from 1 species
CUUGAUCGAGCCCAGCUUGAACGGCGUGUCCCGGUCCUGGCCGUACGUCGCCAGCAGCGCCUGGGCCUC